UCCAGGCACCACUACACCACUGGGAUGUUGUGUUUAUUGACAGGCAUGGAGGUUUGUGUGUAUGCAUCUGGAAGGGCAAUGAAAUUGUUCCCAUGUAGUGCACUCACUUCCAAACCAGACACCCCAUGCCUGAUUGGCUUUAUCUUACGCCUGUUUCACACUGCAAGCGUAACUACAUCGUCACUGCAGCUGCAGAGACGCGCGAGUAUUCACACUGGAAGCGUUUGCACAGCGUCACAGCAGCGGCUCGAAGCUACAUAUAAAGUGAGCAUUUUUUUUCACAAAGACAGCUAUAAAUUUGUUUUUAUAAGUUGGUAAUUUAUAAACUUGAUAGUCUUGAAAGUUUGUUAACAUGGGGAGGUGUACAACAUUCGCAUAAACGUAAAUAAAUAAAUAAAAGCCUCGUGUCAUCCAUUGCUGCACAUGAAUGAGGUAAGAUUUGUGUUUUACAAGACAGCAAACUCGGGUUUGAUUUGCCUAUAUAUCUCUGUGUAAUAACUAAAAUAAUGUUUAUAUAUAAUAUUUUCUGGCUAGUUUACUUUAGUUUUUUAUAAUACACCAUACUUUAACCCAAACUGAAUAAUUAAAAACAAGUUUAAAUGGGUAAAUCUUCUAUAAUUAUUUUUGACUCUUAAUUUUCUUUUCUGUCAUAAUCAAAUUCUUGUUAAAACACAUUAGACAUGCUUAUUCUGUGCAUUUUGAACACUUUUUGUGUGAAAUUGUAUUUAUUUUGUCCAUCAAAAGUGUGCUUUCACUUUAAUUGAGCGUCAGCGGCGCAGCAAAAAUAGACUCGGCGCCGAAACCCCCGCUUCACUGCUGCUUACGCGACGCUCCUGCUUGACGCUUACGCGCUGCUCCUGCUGCCUGUGUGAAUGCAUCCGUUGGUUAACAUGCACGCCGAAAAAAAAUACGCUCUGCUGACGCAUGCGGUGUGAACCCGGCUUUACCCCUCCCAGCCAGAAUGCAGCAGGUGAAAUUGAUCUGAUCAUUAGCAGGGUAGACACAGGCUGUUUCCCAAUUCAGGGUCUGCAGCCUUCGAAGUGCGUGAAAGGGGUGGGGCUUUGGAGUGGAGGAAGGUAGUGAUGUUAAGUUCUGUGCCGAAGCUUCGGAGCGUGUGUCGAGAAAUCCCGGAAGCUUUCAGUGAAGCGCGUGUCGAGGCUCGUAUCGCUUUAGACCAAUGACGUUCGAAGCCUCGCUUCCACCUGACUUGUUCAGGAUGCGGUUCGAAUAACAUUUUGACAGAUAUAUAAGCGACCCAUGGGAUCCCCUCAAAAUGUGUUUUUAGAAUAAUAAUAAUCGCCCCUCCUGCCUAUUAUGACCAAAGAAUUUAUUUAAACACAUUUAAUAGUCCCAUUCAUUUGAAGCCAAUACGUUUAUUACACAGUUAUGUUAUACAAUCAUUAUAUACCACCAGAAAAUACACAUUAUAUUCAUAUAAACAGAUUAGUCUAUGUGGAAAUUGAUUUUUUUCUUCACCGUUAUUCUAAGCCUUAACUGGCGCAAAAUAAAGUGUAUCACAGAUCACAUCAGGUCAUCUGUAAUGUAUCUGCUUGUUUUACACUCUUUGACCACCAGGUGGUAUUGUGAGCAAAUGAAGCCUCGAGAAAUGAACCCUUUUGUGAACCUCUUGGCUGAAAAGCUUCAAUGCUUCAUGAGGCUUCAUCUCGCCAUCACGAGGAAGGUCUAACUGAGGUGCAGGGUUGCCAGGUCUGCGCAACAAAACCAUCCUUAAAGUAGCGUAAUCACGGCUACAGUGUAAAAGUAGCCCAAUUCCAGACGUGGCAACAGUGAGCCGAGCGUUGUUACAUGGCUAGCGGCUGUGUGACAGCUGACAGUAUGCAUUUUAAAAAGGGAAAGGGAUGCAGAAAAGUUUCAUGACUUUCUAUUGGGUUUUGACAAGCUUCACUGCCAGCGACGACGGGACACUGGACCAUAUGAACAGUGACGUGGCAGUCGUCGAUUGAGUCAGCCCUGCAAACCUGUUGGUAGAUACGCAGUGGACAGUGGAAAUAAGCACUCGUCCCAGAUGAUGUCCCACCGGCAGAGAGGCCUUACCAGGGUCUCUGAAGCCCAUCCAGGUCCAGCAGCUCCGCUCAGCCGAAUGAAAGUACACACAAAUAUGCUUUGUUCUGUUUUAUAUAAGGCCUACUGUUAAUUGAAAAUGUUAUGUUGUUUUUCUGAUGUUAAACCUAAGUUCUGUUGUAAAUAGUUGUAAAAGGUGCUUUAAGUAAUGUAGCUAUAAAACAAUGUAUUUUAAUGUAAAAACAUUUAACUUACAUGAUGAAAAAAUGAUUGUAUAUGUUGUAUAUGUAUAAUGUUUCAUGUAAAAUUAUAAGUUGCAUAAAAAAUAAACAAUGAACAGAACAAUUA